rnacentral:tRNA from 1 species
UGGAGAUAUAGCUCAGUGGUGGAGUUCCUGCCUGGCAUUUGCAGGGCCCUGGGUUUGAUCCCCAGCACUACAA